rnacentral:rRNA from 1 species
UACGAAGGAUCCAAGCGUUAUCCGGAUUUAUUGGGUUUAAAGGGUGCGUAGGCGGACUAUUAAGUCAGUGGUGAAAGCCUGCAGCUUAACUGCAGAACUGCCAUUGAUACUGAUGGUCUUGAGUACAUUUGGAGGUGGGCGGAAUGUGUCAUGUAGUGGUGAAAUACUUAGAUAUGACACAGAACUCCGAUGCGAAGGCAGCUCACUAAACUGUAACUGACGC